ACUCCUACGGGAGGCAGCAGUGGGGAAUAUUGCACAAUGGGCGCAAGCCUGAUGCAGCCAUGCCGCGUGUGUGAAGAAGGCCUUCGGGUUGUAAAGCACUUUCAGUCGUGAGGAAGGUAGUGUAGUUAAUAGCUGCAUUAUUUGACGUUAGCGACAGAAGAAGCACCGGCUAACUCCGUGCCAGCAGCUGGCCGGGUUAAAUACGGAGGGUGCGANCGUUAAUCGGAAUUACUGGGCGUAAAGCGCAUGCAGGUGGUUUGUUAAGUCAGAUGUGAAAGCCCGGGGCUCAACCUCGGAAUUGCAUUUGAAACUGGCAGACUAGAGUACUGUAGAGGGGGGGUAGAAUUUCAGGUGUAGCGGUGAAAUGCGUAGAGAUCUGAAGGAAUACCGGUGGCGAAGGCGGCCCCCCUGGACAGAUACUGACACUCAGAUGCGAAAGCGUGGGGAGCAAACAGGAUUAGAUACCCUGGUAGCUACGAGU
rnacentral:rRNA from 1 species